AACAGAGGGUUCGCCCGCUAGAUUGAACGCUGGCGGGAUGCUUCUUGCCGUCCCAGCCGAACGGCAGCACGGACUUUGGUCUGGUGGCGAGUGGCGAACGGGUGAGUAAUGUAUCGGAACGUGCCUAGUAGCGGGGAUAACUACGCGAAAGCGGUAGCUAAUACCGGCAUACGCCCUUCGGGGAAAGCGGGGGACCUUCGGGCCUCGCACUAUUAGAGCGGCCGAUAUCGGAUUAGCUGCCAGGGUAACGGCUCACCAGCAGACGAUCUCGUAGCUGGUUUGAGAGGACGACCAGCCACACUGGGACUGAGACACGGCCCAGACUCCUACGGGAGGCAGCAGUGGGGGAAUUUUUGACAAUGGGGAAAACCCCGAUCCAGCCAUCCCGCGUGUGCGAUGAAGGCCUUCGGGUUGUAAAGCACUUUUGGCAGGAAAGAAACGGCACGGGAUAAUACCCUCGUGCAACUGACGGUACCUGCAGAAUAAGCACCGGCUAACUACGUGCCGCCAGCAGCCGGUGGUAAUACGUAGGGUGCAAGCGUUAAUCGGAAUUACUGGGCGUAAAGCGGCGCAGGUGCGGUUCGGAAAGAAAGAUGUGAAAUCCCAGAGCUUAACUUUGGAACUGCAUUUUUAACUACCGAGCUAGAGGUGUCAGAGGAGGUGGAAUUCGCGUAGCAGUGAAAUGCGUAGAUAUGCGGAGGAACACCGAUGGCGAAGGCAGCCUCCUGGGAUAACACUGACGCUCAUGCACGAAAGCGUGGGGAGCAAACAGGAUUAGGAUACCCUGGUAGUCCACGCCCUAAACGAUGUCAACUAGCUGUUGGGGCCUUCGGGCCCGGUAGCGCAGCUAACGCGUGAAGUUGACCGCCCGGGGAGUACGGUCGCAAGAUUAAAACUCAAAGGAAUUGACGGGAUCCGCACAAGUUGCGGAUGAUGGAUUAAUUCGACAACGCGAAAAACCUUACCUACCCUUGACAUGUCUGAAUCCCGAAGAGAUUUGGGAGUGCUCGCAAGAGAACCGGAACACAGGUGCUGUUGCUGUCGUCAGCUCGUGCCGUGAGAUGUUGGGUUAAGUCCCGCAACGAGCGCAACCCUGGUCAUUAGUUGCUACGAAAGGGCACUCUAAUGAGACUGCCGGUGACAAACCGAGGAAGGUGGGGGAUGACGUCAAGUCCUCAUGGCCCUUAUGGGUAGGGCUUCACACGUCAUACAAUGGUCGGGACAGAGGGUCACAACCCGCGAGGGGGAGCCAAUCCCAGAAACCCGAUCGUAGUCCGGAUCGCAGUCUGCAACUCGACUGCGUGAAGUCGGAAUCGCUAGUAAUCGCGGAUCAGCAUGUCGCGGUGAAUACGUUCCCGGGUCUUGUACACACCGCCCGUCACACCAUGGGAGUGGGGUUUUACCAGAAGUAGUUAGCCUAACCGUAAGGAGUGGCGAUUACCACGGUAGGAUUCAUGACUGGGGUGAAGUCGUAACAAGGUAG
rnacentral:rRNA from 1 species